ensembl:misc_RNA Metazoa_SRP Metazoan signal recognition particle RNA
GCCAGGCGUGGUGGCUCACGCCUGUAAUCCAAGCACCUUGGAGGCUAACAUGGGCAGAUCACCUGAGGUCAGGAGUUCAAGACCAGCCUGACCAACAUGGUGAAACCCCGUCUUUU